CAAAUCGCUGCUUGGAUUCCAUAGUUGUGUCAAUAUAAUGAAUUUAAAGUUCUCAAUCCUUGCUCCGAGGAACGCUGUUUUACUGUAUUGUUCGCCAUCUUCUGGCUUCACUAACGAAAGGAAUCUAUAACGGAGUUCAACAAACCAUCUUCAACGUCGUCAAAUUUUAUUUUGAGACUAUCGAACAUAUCAACAGCCAUCAUGUCCAGCACCAAAGGUUUACCGUAACUAUGCACAAGAAAGACGAACCGAUGUAUUGAACUGGUCUUAUAUUUAUGCUACUGCGUGGAGGAAGCUCAUACACUGAUUUUGUGUGGUUUUAUGGUCAUGAUUGUGGAUGAGAAGGAAAUUCAAAUAAAGCAAUUCUACCGCCAACAUCCUUCAUCAAGACAUCAUCAAGUUCUUUAAUGGACACCUUAAUCCCGACUACCUCGUGAUCUUCAUCUUAUAAAAAUCAAUGACAGUGUUGUCUUUUCAGUUCACUUGUUCAUUUACAAAUGCUACGUACCCUCAUCGGCUACCAUCUCUUUUCUUUGUUCUCGUAGUUUCAGUUUCAACUUGAAACAAUAAUUUAAUCAUAAGAGGAUUAUGAGGAUUACACUCUAUGAAUCAUGAAAGGUUUAAGAGGAUUGCAGUCUGUGAAUGACAAGAGGAUUAAGAGGAUUGCAAUCUGUGAAUCACAAGAGGAUUAAGAGGAUUGCAGUCUAUGAAUCACAAGAGGAUUAAGAGGAUUAUACUCUAUGAAUCAUGAGAGGUUUAAGAGGAUCGCAGUCUGUGGAUCACAAGAGGAUUGAGGGGAUUACAGUCUAUGAAUCACAAGAGGAUUGAGGGGAUUACAGUCUAUGAAUCAUGAGAAGAUUGAGAGGAUUUUAGUCUGUGAAUCAUGAGAGGAUUGAGGGGAUUUCAGUCUGUGAAUCAUGAGAGGAUUGAGGGGAUUGCAGUCUAUUCUAUGAUGAUAAAGUCGAAUUCUUACUUUGGCAAGUUUCUGACGAGCUUUUUCACUUCUUUCUUUGGUUUUUUCCAACUGCUUUUCCGCAUCGUGAACCGUCUAUGAUUGCGAGAGAAAGAAAGGAAUAGAACCAGAAAUUCAUCGUCGUCGCAGCGCUCCUUUUUGUACCUGUAAAGUUAUGCUGAUUUUGUUUUCGUCACCCGUUGCCAUGCACUUAUCGUGUUCAAAUAUACGUCGAUUCAAUUCGCAAUGACUCUUCUCCAACUAGCAAAUGAAAAGACAAAAUGUGCGCUUUGAGGGAAACGCUAUGAACUUGCGUUGAACUUGCAAACCUACCAGCAUUUGACUUGCUUUCAUCUCUUUUUCGGCGACUUGUAUCUCUCCUUCCAGCCUUGAUUUGACAAAAAAAUAUGUUAUAACGAGUUGGCAGCUAGUAAAAAGAUGACGUCCUUUGACAAGUAACAAACAAAGAGGAAAUAACUUAUUGCAUUCUUCUUUCCGAUGUUUUUCUUCUUCUUCACGUUUUUUAUCUCUUUCUUCUUCGAGUUUCUUCAGCAAUUCAUUCGUCCUCUCUGUGUCCCAAGAUUUCAAAGUUUGUUCAACAGUAGCGACUGCAGCGACCUACACAAAUGAAAUCUAUCUUUAACUAAAUAGACAAGUCCCCUAGCGGACAUUUUUACCAUUUUACCUGUUCCGGUGAAGUGCCGUCAUUUGCAUGUAAUCUGGGAUCGGCGCCAUGUUCCAAAAGCAUCUAAUGGCAAAGAAUGUUAGCAUCACCGGUUAGCAUCAAUGAACAUCUGUUUCUAGUAACACCACAAAAUCUUUUGAAAUAUUGAAAACCUGAACUAUGAUAUACCUGGACUGCUUCUUGAUGACCAGCAAAGGCAGCUCUCCAUAGAGGGGUUCUGUCAUAAUGCCCUCUUGAGUUUACCUCCCCUCCUUUCAGGAGUAGCAUGGAUAUAGUAUGAAUGUGUCCACCAGCAGCGGCUUCCGACAAUGGAGUGUUACCAUUAGCAUCUUCACAAUUAACAAGACUUAAUUCGCAUUUCGGCCAGCUGUUCCUGUUUGGAUUCUGUCUGCUUGCUCAUUUUUUGUAUUGCCUUAGUACAAAUAAAAUUGCUUGUUAUGUGUGUACGAAAUUAGAUUGGCAACACAUGUCAUCUUCAAGCUCACUUCAUUUAAUACAGCUUCAAUCACAUCAUUUUCACCGUCAAAGGAAGCUUCCAGUAUCUGCUUCUUCCACUUCAUCUCCAAGGCUUUUCUCUUUCUCUGUUCUUGCUCUUUCAGCCUUUCUUUCUCCUCCUCUUCUCGUUCUCGUUGCACCAUUUGUAGCCAUGCCUGGUAUAAAAACAAGGUUCAUUAUAUUUCCAAAGAAGAAAUUGGAACUACCACCUCUUUUUCCAAUUUUAUCAUCAGAUUCUCAUAGUCUUCCUUUUCCUUCCUCAAUCUUUGUAACUGUCUUUUUGCGAGGUAUCUUUUCACUGCUUUUUGAAUGACCAAAGCAUGCUGGUCUUCUUUGGACCAUUUUGUCUUGCUCUAUAUUAAUAUUGAAUGAAAUAAUUUGUGGGAACUAAUUUAUAACUUUUUUAAAUACAAGCUCAUCACCAUGGUAACCCAAUAUAAUAUAUGUAUAUAUAUUUACAAAUUAUAACCUCUGUAUGUGUAUGUGUAUUGAAUUGCUUUCAUUAAACCAAUGAAAUAAAUACUACGGUCAAAAUUUUAAUAAAAGCUUGCGUUACUACCUCUGA